rnacentral:rRNA from 1 species
CUAGCGUUGUUCGGAAUGACUGGGCGUACAGCGCACGCGGGCGGAUUGAUAAGUCAGGGGUGAAAUCCCGGGGCUCAACCUCGGAAUUGCCUUUGAUACUGUCUGUCUUGAGUCCGGGAGAGGUGAGUGGAAUUCCUAGUGUAGAGGUGAAAUUCGUAGAUAUUAGGAAGAACACCAGUGGCGAAGGCGGCUCACUGGCCCGGUACUGACGCUCAUGUGCGAAAGCGUGGGGAGCAAACAGG